rnacentral:rRNA from 1 species
ACUUGAAACUCAAAGGACUUGGCGGUGUCCCACAUUCGACCUAGAGGAGCCUGUCCUAUAAUCGAUACUCCUCGUUCUACCUCACCAACACUAGCACCAACCAGCCUAUAUACCGCCGUCGACAGCUUACCCCAUGAGGGUAACACAGUAAGCACAAUAGUCCCCCACUAACACGUCAGGUCAAGGUGUAGCCAAUGUGUUGGCAGAGAUUGGCUACAUUUUUUAAGAUAAAAAAUACGGAAUGCUGCAUGAAAAACAGCAUGAAGGCGAAUUUAGUAGUAAAAUAGACA